rnacentral:rRNA from 1 species
AAAAAAGGUAAGCUACUAAGAGCGAAUGGUGGAUGCCUUGACUGGUAAAGGCGAUGAAGGACGUACUAGACUGCGAUAAGCUACGGGGAGCUGUCAAGAAGCUUUGAUCCGUAGAUUUCCGAAUGGGGCAACCCAAUGUAUAGAGAUAUACAUUACCUAUAUAGGAGCGAACGAGGGGAAUUGAAACAUCUUAGUACCCUCAGGAAAAGAAAUCAAUAGAGAUUGCGUCAGUAGCGGCGAGCGAAAGCGCAAGAGGGCAAACCCAGUGCUUGCACUGGGGGUUGUAGGACUGCAAUGUGCAAGAGGUGAGUUUAGCAGAACAUUCUGGAAAGUAUAGCCAUAGAGGGUGAUAGUCCCGUAUGCGAAAAACAAACCUUAGCUAGCAGUAUCCUGAGUAGGGCGGGACACGAGAAAUCCUGUCUGAAGCUGGGUCGACCACGAUCCAACCCUAAAUACUAAUACCAGAUCGAUAGUGCACAAGUACCGUGAGGGAAAGGUGAAAAGAACUGAGGUGAUCAGAGUGAAAUAGAACCUGAAACCAUUUGCUUACAAUCAUUCAGAGCCCUAUGUAGCAAUACAGGGUGAUGGACUGCCUUUUGCAUAAUGAGCCUGCGAGUUGUGGUGUCUGGCAAGGUUAAGCAAACGCGAAGCCGUAGCGAAAGCGAGUCUGAAUAGGGCGCUUAGUCAGAUGCUGCAGACCCGAAACGAAGUGAUCUAUCCAUGAGCAAGUUGAAGCUAGUGUAAGAACUAGUGGAGGACUGAACCCAUAGGCGUUGAAAAGCCCCGGGAUGACUUGUGGAUAGGGGUGAAAGGCCAAUCAAACUUCGUGAUAGCUGGUUCUCUCCGAAAUAUAUUUAGGUAUAGCGUUGUGUCGUAAUAUAAGGGGGUAGAGCACUGAAUGGGCUAGGGCAUACACCAAUGUACCAAACCCUAUCAAACUCCGAAUACCUUAUAUGUAAUCACAGCAGUCAGGCGGCGAGUGAUAAAAUCCGUCGUCAAGAGGGAAACAACCCAGACUACCAGCUAAGGUCCCUAAAUCUUACUUAAGUGGAAAACGAUGUGAAGUUACUUAAACAACCAGGAGGUUGGCUUAGAAGCAGCCAUCCUUUAAAGAAAGCGUAAUAGCUCACUGGUCUAGUGAUUUUGCGCGGAAAAUAUAACGGGGCUAAAGUAAGUACCGAAGCUGUAGACUUGCGCACAACUUAGAUUAUUUAAGUUUAGAAUAUGAGAAACUAAGUUAUAUGUUUAGUUAUAUUUUUACUGAUUUUUAUAGAGUAAAGAUAGAAAUAAAACUUAGUAAAAUCAGUAAAAAUAUUCUUAGACUAAAGUUAAGUAGUUUAAGUUGUGUGCAAGUGGUAGGAGAGCGUUCUAUUUGCGUCGAAGGUAUACCGGUAAGGAGUGCUGGAGCGAAUAGAAGUGAGCAUGCAGGCAUGAGUAGCGAUAAUUAAUGUGAGAAUCAUUAACGCCGUAAACCCAAGGUUUCCUACGCGAUGCUCGUCAUCGUAGGGUUAGUCGGGUCCUAAGUCGAGUCCGAAAGGGGUAGACGAUGGCAAAUUGGUUAAUAUUCCAAUACCAACAUUAGUGUGCGAUGGAAGGACGCUUAGGGCUAAGGGGGCUAGCGGAUGGAAGUGCUAGUCUAAGGUCGUAGGAGGUUAUACAGGCAAAUCCGUAUAACAAUACUCCGAGAACUGAAAGGCUUUUUGAAGUCUUCGGAUGGAUAGAAGAACCCCUGAUGCCAUCGAGCCAAGAAAAGUUUCUAAGUUUAGCUAAUGUUGCCCGUACCGUAAACCGACACAGGUGGGUGGGAUGAGUAUUCUAAGGCGCGUGGAAGAACUCUCUUUAAGGAACUCUGCAAAAUAGCACCGUAUCUUCGGUAUAAGGUGUGGUUCGCUUCGUAUUAGGAUUUACUCCGAAAGCGAAGAAACUUACAACAAAGAGUCCCUCCCGACUGUUUACCAAAAACACAGCACUCUGCUAACUCGUAAGAGGAUGUAUAGGGUGUGACGCCUGCCCGGUGCUCGAAGGUUAAUUGAUGGGGUUAGCAUUAGCGAAGCUCUUGAUCGAAGCCCGAGUAAACGGCGGCCGUAACUAUAACGGUCCUAAGGUAGCGAAAUUCCUUGUCGGUUAAAUACCGACCUGCAUGAAUGGCGUAACGAGAUGGGAGCUGUCUCAAAGAGGGAUCCAGUGAAAUUGUAGUGGAGGUGAAAAUUCC